CCAAACUUUGGCUUAUGGUACCCAAGAGGAGCAAAUUUCAAGCUUGAAGGUUUCACGGAUUCCGAUUGGGCGGGGGACAAAGUGGAUAGGAAGUCCACUUCCGGAGGGUGCCAAUUUCUUGGUUGCUCUUUGGUAAGUUGGUCUUCCAAGAAGCAAAGUUGUGUGUCUCUCUCGUCCACCGAAGCGGAGUAUGUGGCGGCCGGUAGUUGUUGUGCUCAACUCCUAUGGAUGAGGCAAACUUUAAAGGAGUACGGUGUCAUUUGUGACAAAGUGCCUCUUUGGUGUGAUAAUGAAAGUGCCAUCAAGAUUUCUCUCAACCCGAUACAACACUUCAAGAUGAAGCACAUUGAGAUUCGGUAUCACUUCAUCCGGGAUCACAUUAGGCGAGGCGAGAUCGAGCUCAAGUAUGUCAACACUCAUGAUAACCUUGCAGAUAUUUUCACGAAGCCCUUGGAUGAAGCAAGAUUUCGCGAGUUAAGGCAUGAGCUAAAUAUCAUUGAUUUGAGCAAUGUGACUUGA
rnacentral:rRNA from 1 species